UACGGAGGGUGCAAGCGUUAUCCGGAUUCACUGGGUUUAAAGGGUGUGUAGGCGGAUAUUUAAGUCAGUGGUGAAAUCUCCGGGCUCAACCCGGAAACUGCCAUUGAUACUAUUUAUCUUGAAUACUGUUGAGGUAGGCGGAAUAUAUCAUGUAGCGGUGAAAUGCAUAGAUAUGAUAUAGAACCCCGAUUGCGAAGGCAGCUUACUAAACAGUUAUUGACGCUGAGGCACGAAAGCGUGGGGAUCAAACAGG
rnacentral:rRNA from 1 species